rnacentral:rRNA from 1 species
AGUGAACGCUGGCGGCGUGCUUAACACAUGCAAGUCGAACGAGAACGGAAUAUAGCUUGCUAUAUUUGUCAGCUAAGUGGCGCACGGGUGAGUAAUGUAUAGAUAACCUGCCCUUAAGAAAGGAAUAACAGUUGGAAACGACUGCUAAUGCCCUAUAUGCCUUUAAUACAUAAGUAUGCAAGGGAAACGCUUUAGUGCUUAAGGAUGGGUCUGUAUGGUAUCAGCUUGUUGGUGAGGUAAUGGCUCACCAAGGCUAUGACGCCUAACUGGUUUGAGAGGAUGAUACGGCACACUGGAACGGAGACACGGUCCAGACUCCUACGGGAGGCAGCAGUGGGGAAUAUUGCACAAUGGACGAAAGUCUGAUGCAGCAACGCCGCGUGGAGGAUGACACAUUUCGGUGCGUAAACUCCUUUUAUAUAGGAAGAUAAUGACGGUACUAUAUGAAUAAGCACCGGCUAACUCCGUGCCAGCAGCCGCCGUAA